AUCUUGGCAUUUGGAUAAACUAUUGUACUAUUUUUACUGUUGUAGAUCCAUUUUCCUCCUUCUUCAUAACUGUUUAUUAACUCUUGAAUAAUAACUUUGAUCAUAAUAGCUCUCUUGUUCUGCAGGAAUUCUACUAUUUCAUGAAUAGUUAGGUCAUGUUGUUCUAUAGGUUCUUCACAUAUACCUGCAUGAAUUCUACUAUUUCAUGAAUAGUUAGGUCAAGUUGUUCUAUAGGUUCUUCACAUAUAAUUGUUCUUAUCAGUCCUAUCUUCACUGCUGUAAUAGGAUGGUAUAUUUCCUGUGGUGUUACUUCACAGGGUGCUGAAUAAAUCCGAAUAAAUAUUAAAUCUGCUUUGGUAAUUCCUAAGUAUUUCUUUACUACUUGAUAUAGUUCUGGAAUAUGUUGUAGAUUAUCUCCAUUUUGCGUAUAUACUGCAUGCAAUCGUCCAUAAUUAUACAUGGUCUGUAUGAGUUUUGCGUCUGUCUUGUUUAGUGCUACUAAUUUGUCAUAUCCCUUCAAAGGUUUAGUUUGCCAGCCAAUAAGUUUUUCUGGGUUAUAUUCUGGUGAAUGUAUGUUUUUGUUUAGGUAAUUGGCAACUUGUAUGAAUUGGUUCAGGUAGUUGUGUAUUCUUUGUACAAAUUGGUUUGUAUAGGUUUUUUGGUAAUUUCGCUGUAAG
rnacentral:lncRNA from 1 species